GAUAGGAUGCCAGAGAAUUAUGGGUUAGAUUUAGGAUCUAAAUAUGGACAGUGGGUUGUUCUCCUAUAG
rnacentral:tRNA from 1 species